AUUGAACGCUGGCGGCAGGCCUAACACAUGCAAGUCGAGCGGUAACACAGGGAGCUUGCUCCCGGGUGACGAGCGGCGGACGGGUGAGUAAUGUCUGGGAAACUGCCUGAUGGAGGGGGAUAACUACUGGAAACGGUAGCUAAUACCGCAUAACGUCGCAAGACCAAAGAGGGGGACCUUCGGGCCUCUCGCCAUCAGAUGUGCCCAGAUGGGAUUAGCUAGUAGGUGGGGUAACGGCUCACCUAGGCGACGAUCCCUAGCUGGUCUGAGAGGAUGACCAGCCACACUGGAACUGAGACACGGUCCAGACUCCUACGGGAGGCAGCAGUGGGGAAUAUUGCACAAUGGGCGCAAGCCUGAUGCAGCCAUGCCGCGUGUAUGAAGAAGGCCUUCGGGUUGUAAAGUACUUUCAGCGGGGAGGAAGGUGCUGAGGUUAAUAACCUCAGCAAUUGACGUUACCCGCAGAAGAAGCACCGGCUAACUCCGUGCCAGCAGCCGCCGUAAGAC
rnacentral:rRNA from 1 species